CUCCCCGGCGGGGAAUCGAACCUCGGUUCCGCGUGACAGGCGGGAUACUCACCCACUAUACUACCAGGAC
rnacentral:tRNA from 13 species